UACGGAGGGUGCGAGCGUUAAUCGGAAUUACUGGGCGUAAAGCGCACGUAGGCGGUUGGGUAAGUCGGAUGUGAAAGCCCUGGGCUUAACCUGGGAACUGCAUUCGAUACUGCUCGGCUAGAGUAUGGGAGAGGGAAGCGGAAUUUCCGGUGUAGCGGUGAAAUGCGUAGAUAUCGGAAGGAACACCAAUGGCGAAGGCAGCUUCCUGGGCCAAUACUGACGCUCAGGUGCGAAAGCGUGGGGAGCAAACAGG
rnacentral:rRNA from 1 species